GGGGGCGAGUGGCUUUGACGUAGGUCAUGAAACUUCAGGAGCAUACAGAGGCGCAUGGGGACCUCUUUAAAAAUGUGCAUGAAAACUAAUUGGCAACUUUAAUGUUGCUCUUGCUGCCUAAUUUAAACAGGUAGCCGUUGACUUCACUUUUGACGACGGGGUGGGGAAGGCGUUGACUCAGUUGUCUCGGUUUUUUGUUGUUUAUCAGGAUAAGAAACUUAAAUUUACUGGUAAAAACCCAUCUAGUUAUGUUGAUGCUGAUUAGAUGGUGUAUUUUGCAUCAACUAAGUAUGUAGCUGGCCUGAAAGUAGAGGAUUUACGGACACGAGUUCGACUCUCGUCGCCUCCACCA
rnacentral:tmRNA from 1 species